rnacentral:rRNA from 1 species
GAGUUUGAUCCUGGCUCAGAUUGAACGCUGGCGGCAUGCCUUACACAUGCAAGUCGAACGGCAGCACGGGAGCUUGCUCCUGGUGGCGAGUGGCGAACGGGUGAGUAAUGCAUCGGAACGUAUCCUGGAGUGGGGGAUAACGUAGCGAAAGUUACGCUAAUACCGCAUAUUCUGUGAGCAGGAAAGCGGGGGACCUUCGGGCCUCGCGCUCUUGGAGCGGCCGAUGUCGGAUUAGCUAGUUGGUGAGGUAAAGGCUCACCAAGGCGACGAUCCGUAGCAGGUCUGAGAGGAUGAUCUGCCACACUGGAACUGAGACACGGUCCAGACUCCUACGGGAGGCGAGCAGUGGGGAAUUUUGGACAAUGGGGGCAACCCUGAUCCAGCCAUGCCGCGUGAGUGAAGAAGGCCU